UAAAAUCAGUGAAGAUGAAAAGUUCUUCACAAAAACGCUGAUCAGUUAGUAGAAACCUUUCUGCCAAUAUUUUGAGCCCCCAAAUGAAGUUUGCGUUCGCAGUAACCUGCCCAUCCCCCCCCAGUCUCUACAGAACUGGAACGUCACAAAAAGAGGAUUCCCAGCAGAGACGUCCAGGUGCUGGCGGAAGGCCAGGACAAUGCAACCAAUAUGAGUGUCAAAAUGAAGCAGCCUAGGGAAGAGCUCACGGUGCCCUGCAAAUGAGGGCUGCUGAGGCUGGCUGGGGAGGGCAGGGCAGGACGGUGGUGAGCGCAGCAUCCCGCUCCAGCGGAUCCUCAGCAGACACAGCAGCUUCCCAGCAGAGGG